AUUAUUUUGGCAGAAUAGUGCGGUAAAUUUAGAAUUUAUUUAUGUAGAUUUUACAAAUAAUA
rnacentral:tRNA from 1 species